GUUUACGGAAGGUCAAAUAAGCUCAUGUUAUCUCUGUUGCAAUUUGUUAGUAAAAUGUUGACUAAAGUGAUUGCUCAUCAAAGUUUUUGUGGGUAAUUGUUGAAAUAGCUUUCAGAAUCUUUGGUAACCUGAAACUUUACAGUUCUUAUUGGAUUAGAAAUGGGAUUGAAUUCAUUGGACAUCUAGGUCUUUUCCAAAUAGGGUAAAGUGCUACAGCUCUGAGUACUGAAUGUAGGCUAAGGAACCUUUAAGAUCUGUGACUUACAGAAAUGUGAAAAUACUCAUUUGUAAACAGAUCAAAGCAUUCAACCUUUCUCUCUACCUGAACUCUCUGAAAUUCAAAAGAUCUCAUGCUAAGACUCCUUCACUGACCUAACUUCCAGCUAAUGAAUGAUCCUUUCUACUCAAGGAGGUUCAGACUUGACAGCAUUGGAUUCACCUGCCUUGCCCUUUUGUAACCCCAGUAUUGACCUAUAGGAUGUGACCUCUUUUAAGAGGAAGGUGGAGAGGAGGGACAACUGGGAAUUGGGGGUGACCAGAAGCAGAGGAUGGUGGAUCUGCAAGGUGGGCUAGUCUUCAACCAGUACUCCAGGAUCACUGGGACACUGCUUGAUAGGAGAAGGAGGCUUAGCAGUCAGUGUUGCCUGAAAACAUGGACUGCAGCAGCCUGGACAGCUGUCACCUAGUUCUGUCAGAAACAGCCAGCUGGGUCAUUUCCUGCUCCCUUCAGACCGUCGGAAGCAUCAAGAGGAACAGAAUGUCAGAUCUCCUUGCUGUUUUCUGCAUAUGGGGAGUGAAGCAGAGCAUACGAGUCACUCCUUGAACUUCAUUAAAAAUAAAUGAGGAAUCUGAGAUUCAGAGAGCAAUGAGGUGGUAAUUCCAGGCUGAUACUGCUGUGUGUGCCAUGGCAGACAUAUGAGCUCUGGAUGGGGAUGGUGAAGCCUGUGUAUAUUCUGUUCCAUGUUUGUGAGCUGUUCCCCUUCACCAGAACUAGGUGGACAUGAGUAAUGAACUUUGAGGGUUUGAGUUUUCUGCUGGAUAGAAACUAUAUCUCUACCAGACAAAAAUAUUAAAGUUAAUGGAGAGCUUUG